GAUGAACGCUGGCGGUAUGCUUAACACAUGCAAGUCGAACGAGAGUUUUUAACUCUAGUGGCGAACGGGUGCGUAAUACGUGAGAAUCUGCCCUUAGGAGAAGAAUAACUACUGGAAACGGUAGCUAAGUCUUCAUAUGCCGAGAGGUGAAAUAGUUUCAACUGCCUAAGGAUGAGCUCACGCCUGAUUAGCUUGUUGGUGAGGUAACGGCUUACCAAGGCCACGAUCAGUAGCUGGUUUGAGGGAACGAUCAGCCACACUGGGACUGAGACACGGCCCAGACUCCUCCGGGAGGCAGCAGUGAGGAAUUUUCCGCAAUGGGCGAAAGCCUGACGGAGCAAUACCGCGUGAGGGAUGAAGGAUUUUGGUCUGUAAACCUCUUUUCUCAAGAAAGAAGUUCUGACGGUACUUGAGGAAUAAGCAUCGGCUAACUCCGUGCCAGCAGCCGCGGUAAUACGGGGGAUGCAAGCGUUAUCCGGAAUCAUUGGGCGUAAAGCGCCUGUAGGUUGUUUAGUAAGUCUGUUGUUAAAGACCAGGGCUUAACCCUGGGAAAGCAAUGGAAACUACUAGACUUGAGUAUGGC
rnacentral:rRNA from 1 species